GCCCCCAUCGUCUAGUGGCCUAGGACGUGGCCCUCUCAAGGCCAAAACUCGGGUUCGAGUCCCGGUGGGGGCACCA
rnacentral:tRNA from 1 species